rnacentral:lncRNA from 1 species
UAAGCAGUGCCAACUGCACACAUUGAGUGCUCUUUAUUUGUGGUGCUUUAGCAGCACUACUAUCUCUGUAUUUUCUAAGUAAGAAUUCUAUAGUAUUGCCAUAAGAGAACAGAAAGAAGCUGUAGGUUUUUUGUCCAUAGGCACAUUUCUUGCAUACUUCUAUUAUUUUCAUUUUUCUUAUUAAAAGGAGCUGCUGGCCCCCCAUGUUACUUCAAGCACAUCCCGACCUGUGAAACCACCUGUAGCAGCUGACCGCUGAAAAGGUCUCUCGAGUUGCUGGCGGUCGCGCUCUGCGCGUAUUUAUAGCGCCGUACUAUGUACCGGCUGCUACAUUCCCCCCCCUUUGAAGGGAACCGUCCCGGGCCCUUAGAGCUUCGUAUGCCACCAGCCUGUGCCUACCUUCGCCUACCCUCGGGCAGUGGGUAAUUACUCCACGUCACGUCAUGUGCCGGCUCACAUGCGCCUAGCCGUCUUCAGAUUUUUCAGGCACAGAGCCAGUCCAGUCGGUUCAGCUACUUUUAAUAUUUGUGCGAUAUUCGCUCUCUGAGUCGCCACACCCGAAUACCACCCGAACGUGAUCGGUGGGGGUUGAACCGACGACUUCAGGAUCGUGAAUUUUCACGAGGUCUCGAUACCAAAUGUAGCAGCUGACCGCUGAAAAGGUCUCUCGAGUUGCUGGCAGUCGCGCUCUGCGCAUAUUUAUAGCGCCGUACUAUGUACCGGCUGCUACACCACCUGGCUACAUGCAUUGGAACCCUGUACUGCAUAUGGUAUGGACUGUGCAGGCAAGGUUAGCACUGG